ACUGGGAUAGCUCAGUUGGCAGAGCACAAGACUCUUGCUCUUGGAGUCAUGGGUUCGAGUCCCAUGUGUGGCG